CGCAAGCCUGACGGAGCAAUACCGCGUGCGGGAGGACAGUCCAUCGGAUUGUAAACCGCUUUUCUCUGGGAAGAACACAAUGACGGUACCAGAGGAAUCAGCAUCGGCUAACUCCGUGCCAGCAGCCGCGGUAAGACGGAGGAUGCAAGCGUUAUCCGGAAUGAUUGGGCGUAAAGCGUCCGCAGGUGGUCAAUCAAGUCUGCUGUCAAAGCGCGAGGCUUAACCUCGUAAAGGCAGUGGAAACUGAUAGACUAGAGGAUGGUAGGGGUAGAGGGAAUUCCCAGUGUAGCGGUGAAAUGCGUAGAUAUUGGGAAGAACACCAGUGGCGAAAGCGCUCUACUGGGCCAUACCUGACACUGAGGGACGAAAG
rnacentral:rRNA from 1 species